AUAAUAGAAGUCUUCAGAAGUUGCAGGUGCCACGAAAAAGUUCGGUAACCGAGAGCACAAAGCCGGAAUACCAGUACCGUAAACUUAGUCGUUUAAAAACUGCUGAGCAAGAGCUGAAUGAGAGAGGCCAGACCGCAUCGCCGUUCAGAAUCCGCAAUGAGGUGAACAAUGGAUCAUCCGGAUAUUGCCUGUCAACCGAGCUACCUAUACGCGCUGCGCUAAACGAUACUAGGUCGACCGCCGGACCGAGCUGUUCCGGUACAGUGGCUCUACUUGAAACAAGAGUAGGAAUGGAGGGAUUUUAAGCUGCCCUGGGUAGUUUAACAUAACAUAAC